AGUGGAGUCGGCUGCCGCCGGGCUCCUGACCGGCAGGGGGCACAUUUCCUCCACUGUCUCCCGCUGCCUGAUCGCCGCUGCUCAGCGGCGGAACUUGCGGGGCCCACAGCCGGCAGCAGUGUAAUGAGUCACACUGACUCAUUACACGCUGCGCUGCAGGCCUUAACACAGGAGGAAGCCGCCGGACGUGAGCGCACAGCGCCAUCAAGUGAGAAGGGUGAGCUCAUCAUCACCCUUCAUCUCGGCACCGCGCUGCUGCAGCUUCCUCCAGACUCCUGGUCUCUGCCACCGCUGCAUGCUGGGAGAAGGGGGAGGAAGGAGAGACAGUCACGGCAGCAGUGUGUGUGGAGAGUGAGGACUGGGAGACAUCAGCUCAGCCGCAGUGAGGAGCCUUACAGGAGCCAGGAGGUGAAAAACGGAGGAGCUGUGUCAGUGGGAAGCUGCCUCCUGUAUAUACAGAGAGCUGGCUGCAGCUAGGGGAGCUCCAGAGCGCGGCUCCUCCCGGGCCCUUCCAGUUAAGCAAGCCAGCCGAGGGAAGUUCUCUGCUCCUCCGUCAGGCUGAUGAUAGCCAAAGGAUACCACAGGAGGUCCCUGUUCAUGUCCGAACCGUAGUCUAGUACCGCCCCAGUCGCACUGGCGGACUGAAGGUGGGAAUGAGUGGCAGAAGCAUGAAGGGGCCUAAAGCAGAGUUGAACAACAACGGACUCACUUCCAGGGGGACGCUGCAGGAGGAGGAAAUCCGUAUGGUGUUGGAGGGAGGAAUGGACACCGACAAAAAUUAAAGAGAUACAAAGUACCUGGUAGCUCAGUACAGAGUUAUUACUCCUGGUGAAGAGACGGUUUUACUGGGGCCCUUCUGUUGACAGGAAGUCCUCUUUAUAGCACAGAGUGUGCAAUGAUUGGAAGCUGCGGUCAGCUGAUGCAAAGAAGCUCCUGGAUUGGUCAGUGGAGCGUCAGCUGACAGAAACUAAGAUGGCAGCACCCAAGUCUGGCUUUGGAGGAAACUUUGGUUUAGGCCCAAACACCAGGAAGUGGAUCCUGAGACAGCGGGCAGCAGCAGCAAGUGCCAUGUAGUACUACUCACAGAGACAGCGGCAGUUGCUGGAAACUUCAUGUGGGCUCAGCAGACCUCUGCUUGAACUGGGAGCGAUGUGUGAAAGCAGCACGCCCAGACCUCAGUGCCAGUCUGGACAGAUUCCGCAAUGGUAAGAACACGUUUUUAAUACUCCGGAGCGUGACACCACCAGGGCAGUAUUGAAUUGUUCUGGUACUUACUGUAGGUAUCCACCACCGCAACUUGCAGCGAGUAGGAUACUUAAUUAUCGGGGUAAAACCUCUGUAUCUGUACUCAGGAGCUGAUGAACUUAUCGAGUU